AAAAAAAGAAGCCUAACUCUUUUUUGCAGCUCGGAGUAGCAGGUGAGGUGAGAUGUAGUGAGUGUUUCCUGCAGCUGGAGGAUGAAGUUCAGCGUGGAGCCCCCAGAGGCAGUGCAGGUGAGGUGUCCAUGGCCCCUCGUGGUGACACUGCCACCGGCGGGGGCUGCGGUUGUGCUGUGGAGACUUUGCCUCAGUUGGUUGGAGAAAUUACCAAAAACCUGAUUUUCAUCCAAGAGAAGUCUGUAGAGCAUUUCUCAGAGUGAAGGCAAAUGGAGGUCAGGAUUUGCAGGUUUGUAUUCCAUGGCUGUUUCUCUGUUUACCAACACUUGGUUACCUUUUCCACUGGAUAUUGCCGUUUGCAGUGUCUGUGGUACCUUCUCUCCCUGCUCCCAGCAGCCUCUUUGGGUCUUGCCAAAGCACACCCAUGAUACUGGAGGGGAGUUUGACUCCAUCCAUGCUUCAGCUGGCCAAUCCACACUUCACAACUUCACAUAAAUUGUAGUUUGUGUUAACUGUGCCAGCAAAUCUUGGGCCAAAAUUCUGGUUUUUGGUCUCUAGCAGGUUAUAAAUUAAAGUUCUGUAUUGCAAACAAAGUAAAUGUCUGUAGCUUGACAAGAGGUUAGGCAGGGCUUAAAAUGUCUGGUUUGUUUCUCUGGAGGCACAGUAAUCCUUCAGGAACUUUGCAGACUUAAACUGUGUGUUGCUUCUGAGUAUCCCUUUGGGAAAAUGCCCUUUUUUUAAUGUUAGGAAUUUUUUGUCUGAUUCAUAGGGUGCUGAUGCUGUGUGUGGUCCUGUGGUGGAUGAGGUGCUUGGUGACCUCAGUCCUGCUGCUGGCAGGGCUGCCUUUUAUAACUCUAAUGUGCUUCCUAACACAGUAACAGGUGAGAGGAAUGAAGACACACAAGUAGGUGCAGUGAUCUCGGUGUAGAUGACAAGAGCAAAAUACAGAUUAUUAUUUUUCACAUCUGAAGAACAAAUAUGAGUUAUUCCUGGUGUAGGGUUUUAUUGCUUUGAUCAUGCUACAGCCAAUGCUUUUGAAAACCCUUUAAUGACUGUUCAGUAAGAGUCACAGUUCUGCUUGAAUAUUCCUCCCAGAAGCUUUCUUUUUGUCCUUCAGUGCUCAUCUCUGACUACAUAAAAUCUGUUUGUAUUUUAUUCUGUUAACCUCCAACCAAGUCGAGGCAAAGCCAGUUGUUUCUGCCCUGACAGGAAAAACUGCCACUGUUCCAGAAGCUGUGUGAGGGGCUGAGUAGAGAUUUCAGGCACCAAGUUGCAUAGAGAGAAAGUGAAAUACGUUCCAUCAAAAACCAGUGUGUUUACACAGUUAAUGACUGAGAAAACAUCCUUCUUGUGUGCCUUGAUGAGGAUGUUUGGGAAAAUAAGAAUAUAUAUUAAAUCAUUUUGUUGGAUUUAAUUUAUUUAAUUAGAGCUAUCUCUGAUUUCCUUUUCAAGGUGGGCCAUCUGUUAAUUCUUCUGGGACUGAUGUGUUUGCAGUAGAACAGUAUUGAACCACAAUUUUUGUUUUUUCAGAUAUAAAAGGCAUUUUCUCAAAACAAUUUGAAAACAAAUGGGAAGUAAGAUUCACGAUUUUACCGUUUAUCCAGUUGCAUGCAACAUAAAUAUCAGAAUAAAUUAGCCUAAUUGAGUCAGUUUGUCUUUGUGUUUCUGGACAAUGAAGCUUUUCCCUUCUCAACCGUCUCUUCCUGAAGCAUUUCCUGGAAGUGCGAAGAAAAUUCUAAUUUUCCAAUUAAAAAGAGGGAGGAUUUGCCAGCAAACUGUGACCAUUUAGAAACACUCCACAGAUGUUGAUAUGCAGCUGCUGUUUGUGGACAACUCCCUUUGCCUUCUCAAUCUGAAAGUGGUCUGGAGAAGCCUUUUCACUGCUUGAUUGGACUGCCAACUGGUUUGCCCAAGGCUGAUCUGCCCAAGAUUCAGGUGCAGAGCCACAGUAAGUGGAAGAACAGGCGUAAUCUGAGGCACCAAGAGCUGAGAAGAAAGGUGAAUAUAAUGAGUACUUAAUGAAGAAGUAGAUUGUUAGGAGAGUCAUGUUACACCACGUUUGUAGAAGAUCUUCAACCUUAAAAGUCUUCUCAGCUUCAACUCGGAAAUCAACUUGCAUUUUUGGCCUUACCAGUGUGACAGAGUCUGGCUGCCAAAAGUCAACCUGAAAGAAGAGCAAAUGAAGACAUAAACAACUUCUUUCAUUUUUUUCUCAGUUUUUUGCCUACAAAUGUUAGAGAGAAAUUAACUCAACAUCAGGUGUGAACUGUAUGAAUAUUUUACAUAAAUCAUCUGAAAAAGACUGUUGUCUGUAAGAGGGCUUUUAAAAGAGAUCACUGAAGUUGAUAUGAGGAACCUGUGCCUUUGAAGAUGUUUCAUUCCAAGCAGACAAACAACAGUGUUAUUACUACUUCAGUUAUUUUUGCUGAAGUAAGCAUCCAGGCCUCUGGAUUUAGUGCUCUGUUGAAGGCCAAUGGAAACAGAGAUGAUUUGCCAGCCCGAUGCCUUUUCACCCUUUCAUCUCACAAAGUGUAUUUUCUGAAUUAGGUAAAUUGCUGAAACUUCUCUCAUGUUUGAAGAAACUGGUAUUUGUUAUCAAAUGAGGAAAAUGAAAACAGGUCAUGAUGUUCAAUAUCUCCCUGUCACUGAAAAACAAGCUUCUGGAACUUGGACUAAGAGAUGUUUGUCAUGAAACAAAAAUUACUACUUUGGCUUACUGGAAAUAAUUCUGGAUCAUGACAAGGAUUUAUGCAGAAUAAAAGCCACAAAAGAAAGGAAGAACCUGCUUGUAUCUUCUCCUCACACACCUGCUAAGAAAGCAAAUCCUGCUUUAGUCAUUGAUGCCACUUGGGCAUUUUGCCGUAGUUGCACAGGAGUGUCUAGUGGAGCCUUCCACUUAAAUGACUGUUCUACUUUUCCUUUGGAACCAAAGAACCACAGAAAUUAAUGGGAACACACAUUGGAAGCAAGAGGUAUUCCAGACCUACUAACAAAAGCAGCAUAAUGAAAACUGAAGACCUUGAAUAGCAAUAAAAUAAUCGAGUUGGUAAAAACCCAACUGAUGGAGCUCUCAUGUGGAACAUAUUGUGUCUAUGAUGUUACAGGUCAUUUCCUUUGUCUUUCUCUAUAAACAUGUUUUCCAAAUGAGUUUCAAGUUGGUGCAGCUGCUUCAAGCCCAGUAUGUUGAAAGCAUAUUUGUAUGACAGAUGACCAGCAGCUGCUGUUGGAAAAUGGACAAAGCCAAGGGUAGAUGUUGCUUGGGAGGAUGAACUUUGCUUCCAGGCAAAACAUCUUCCUCAAUAUUUUGCUUCUCUAUGAGUUUUUCAUUGAAAAGGCUGGCCCAGUGACACUAAGAGGCCUUUUUCUUUCCAGAUACAGCUCUAAGAAAUGUAGCAAAGAAAGAAGAAACAGACAUCCUGGUGGACACUUUGGUCAAGGUACUGAAGGACAGAGGAAACCUGUUGUUAAUCUCUCAGGAAUCGUUCUCUCUGUUAAAGAAGAUACUGCCAUUUUUUUAAUACUGUCUCUGAUUUAUUCCUAACCAUAGAAGUACUUUGUACUGAAGAUCUGGAAAUGGUGUAUGUGGCAAUACACAUACCUCUGUUCCUGAGGCAAUCUAAUCCAUUUAACUGUGUCCUAUCUCCUGUUUAAUUCAGACUUUUUUUUUCCUAGCCUUUUUUUCCCCCCUUCAAACACAGUUUAGUUAAAAUACAGGAAAGCUAUGCUUUUAAUGACUAAAAGAAAUAUAAUUUUCCUUUCUUUUGAUUCUUGUCUAAAACAUUCCAUGCUUGUCCUGAGAAGGAGAGAAAAACACCACCAUCCAUUUAACUGGCAACACUACAUGCAUAUUUUGUAUUUAAAUCUGUCAAGAUACAUACUGGUUUAAGUCUAUUGCCAUUUUGAUCCUACAAGUUCCACAAAAACAUUUCUUGUAGCUGUCAAAUACCGUGCAUCUUCCUUAGUAAGAGAGAAUAAACAUACACAUACUUUGAUCUGCUUCAUUGCUUCAAAGUUUGAAAUGCACUCAGAGCUUUUCAUGGAAUUUUGAAAAACAAUUCUUGAAAAGAGUAAUUAUGAAAGUAGUAAUUUUCUCACUGAUGUUAUUUUUCUGUAAUUGAGAGUUAGGCAGUAAGAGCAUUGUGUUUCUGGUUUUUUUUUUCCCCUACGGUGUAAUCCAGAAAAAAAUUUUGAUUUAUAAGAUUUUUCUUUGCCCUGAGGAACUGCAGUCAGGCAGAAGACUAAGAGACUGCAAGAACUGAAGCUUAUAUAUGGAAACAAAUAUAAACAACCUCCCAAGCACAAAGUACUAAAAAACUCCAAUAAAAAUCUGCAUUUCAAACAGGCUUACACCACGAGUCCUUAAGCAUGUGGCUAAGGCCACGUGGUUAGAGGAGGACUGCCUCUUGUAGUCCAUAUCCAUUUGUGUUGACCUUCAUUCCCUUCAUAAUUUUCUAGCAUUACAGAAAUGGUAAUUUUCCAAUUACUUACAUGGAAAAAGGGUUUAAAUGUAGGUUAUGCUUCUUUUACUGCCAGGAAAGUGUCUGCUUCCUGGAGACCCCUUUUUGAGAAGUGCUCAAAGUGAGGCCAUACCCCAGGACAGCCACAGGGAUACAAAUAUAUGGAGCUCUUUGCAGAUCAUUACUGGGAACUGUGCAAUGUUACAAAUUUGGGGGUUUUUAGGUUGCAUUGAUAUUAUUUCAGGUACUUAUUAAUUUUUUUCCAUUUGUAAAAAAUUGCAUAUUAAUUAAAAAGCUGUUUAAGGAUUAUGAUCUUUUAGAAAAAAAGUAAUAAUUUGUUAUGAAGUAGCCCAGUGCUGACAAAAGGGGAAAGUGAUGAACUUUGUAAAACAAUGUGUUCACAGGACAAAUGGUUCAUCAUAAAUAUAAGGCACUCAUGGCUCUUUCAGAAUUUACAAAUAACAGCAUUUACAAAUAAACCAGAUCCUCCUGCCAUCUUUGAAUUGCAUAUCCUGACAUCAGUGUUGGAAGCUGGUUUGGUGGGAGAGACUGCAAGUUCUGCAAGAGUCAAAAGUAAUUAAAGAGCAUAGAUUUUGAAUGAUUUCCUGUGAAACACCACCUGUGGUAGAGGAAUACCUUCCCAAGGGACAAAAAGCCAAAAAAUAUUGUGCCGGGAUUGUGCUGAAGCUCUGCCAAGGCCUUUUCUAGUUCUUCCAAGCUUAUCACAGGCUGUAUUUGUCCGCUAUAAAUUAAAGUCAGUAUCAUGAACUGUAGCCUUAGCACAAGGCCAGCACUGUUUGUAGUGAAAGGCAGGGGUUCUGCCUGCUGGUUUGAACAGCAGCGACAACUGAAGAAGCUGAUGCCUAACAACUGAAUUAUUUCAUCAGCUCCUCCUCUGCCUCAGAAAUGUCUCUGAGAAGUGUCAGAACCCAUAGAAAGUUUUGACCAAUUAGUUAGUCCAUGGUUUUGUCACAAAGCUGGAUAAUCUGUGUCAUUUCUAAUAGGUAUCCAAGCUAUCUGUUAAAAUUUUCCAGUGCUGAGGUGCCAAAAUUUCUCCUUUUCUGUGUUGCAAAAAGAAGUGUUUAUAUUGGGGAAAAGCUGUUUAUGAAUGAAUUAAACAGGUUGAACUUUGAAAUGUGGAACCCAUGUCUGGUUUCUCAUCCAAUGAGCCAAGAAGAAAAUGGUGAAGGGGUGAACUGCAAGUUCAAGCUGCCAAUACAAUACCUCAUUUGACAUUCCUCCUCUAAGGGGUUUUAUCAGUAGGCCAGACCUGUCUGCAGUGCAUGUUUUUUCCCUACCUGGUUUUUAAUGCUUGUCAGGUGGACUGCCUAGGUUUGGUAAAAACCUUUAGAUCACCUUAAAUAUCCAACAAAACUCAAGAUGAGACUGUGUCUUAAAACGCAGAUAGAAGCUAAGAUGAGACUGAAAUUAUUCCGACAAUCCUAACCAGUCAUUAUGAAUUCUGAUGAGGGAUUUGUGGAGGAUGCAGUUGAGUAAGCUUGAGUGGAAAACUUCUACAUUCUGAUCUCUGCUACGGCCCCCUCUUGGCCCCAGAGACCACUGCCAGAGUAACCUCCAACCUCUCAGUGCUCUUCUUUUGGGCUUGGUGAGGGGCACCUGGGAGGGGCACAGUAUAGGAUGGCCAAGCAGGGCCAUGGAGAUAGAGCUGGGCUGGGACACAGCUUGGUGUCCAUCAGCAUCACUGGGGCUGGGACACAGCCCAGGCUGGGCUGCUGGGCCAGGGCAGGCUGGGGAGCCCCCAGGUGCUGCUGGUCAGGCUCACUGAGGCACAGAAGUGUCCUCAGAGGCUGGGUGUGGGUCUGGAGGAGUGUGGCAGCAGAAUGUGUGUGCCCUGCAGGAGCCAGGUGGAAAGGGCAGCACCCAGGAACCCUCUCUUGAGUGACAGCCCCCCAGUUUGGGCUGGGGUCUCUGUAAGUCCUGUACUGGAUGGGGAACAAAGUCUUUGUGCUGUGAGAGACUGAUGAAAAUGCUGCCCCUUCAGCAGGACCAAGGCACAGCUUCAGCAGCCACUGGGCACCCCACAGUGAGAGGAUGACACUGUGCUCUGGGGCAAGCUGGUGCUUGAGUGGGCUUUGAUAUGACAGAAUCACAACAGUCUCCCUGUGCUUGGGCAGCUGAUAAAUGAAGUGAGCAGGCUCUUACUUGGUGUUCUGCUGGGCAGUGUCCUGGUGAAAGGCAAACGUGAGCUCUGUGAGCUGCCUGCCAGCAGGGAGGUUACUGUCUGUGCAUCUGUAAGAAUUUGUAUAGAAAGGAUUGUGCUUGUUGGGCCAGGAAAGCACAGAUGUGGCCAAAUCCUGAUCUCAGUUGCACGUGCACAGCUCCCAAGGCAGCAAGGCUUCAUUGUGGCUCAGCACUUGGCCUAAUGAGGGCUUGCAUGAUUGCCAAUAAUGUGCGUGGCACACUGGAGAGUGAGCAAACAACAGUUCCCUGUGUCGCUGUGCUCUGCUCUGCAGCAUCUGUUUUGCUUCAUCAUUUUUUAGAAGAAGACCACAAAUAUUUUUCACUAGGAAGUUGAUAAAUAACAGUGCUUACAUUUAGAAAAAAAAUUAAGUGGAGAUAAAAGUAAAUCUUUCAGUAUAUAAAAUCCUUAUGCUAUGAUUUGAGUAUUAAUUCACAGAUUAUUUCUUAUUAUGUUUUUCCUAACUCUGUAAAUCUUAUGGGGUUUUCUCCCUCAGGAAAUCACAUGGGGUGAUGUCUUAGUGUGAUUUAUUUUUAUUUGUAUGUCUAAGUUUGCACAGAAUUGUCUUUCACAGCAGCAUUUUUACAUGAAGAUUUGUAUCCCUUGGAAAAUUUGGCAAACUGGGGAGUAUUUAAUAAUUUGUCAAUGAAACUUUAAAUGAAAUUUGUUGCAACUUUGUGGAUAGACAUGAUGAGUGUGAUGUGGUAAACCAAGUAGAUAUUUUAAAGGGACGCGUUCAAAAGAUUGUAUUACAUAUUUUUCAUUCCUUAACGGCCUUCUGAGGGGAAAUGUGUUCUAGCAAAUUGCAGAUUACAUGUAUGAACAGAAGCAGGGCUAGCCUAAAAUCUAGUUUUACUAUUUCUCUAAUGCUUUGUUGUCUUUCUUGUCUGUAUAAUUUUAAUUUUAAGGUUGGAUAUAAUGAGGAGGUCAACAACAAAGCAGGGGAAACAGCAAACACGUGAAAUGGAAGAGGGAAGUCUGAGCUCUCUGCUAUGGAGGGGCUCCCCCUCUGUCAGCCCUGUGCUCUCACUUGGAAAAGCAAAACAGGAAAACCCCACUUCUAGAAGCUGGUGGCAUGAGCACAGGAAGGUGUUCACCUCUUCUGGAGAGAGGAAUUGGUCUGUAACAAUUAUGUGUUUGACAGAUACGUCUGCUUGCUUGGUUGGGAUGGGGACUGAUAUAUUUUUUACCUUCCUUUAUGGUUCCAAGCUGAUGGUGAGCUUUGCAGUGGUGUUUGGAGUGAGCUGUUGUGUGUCUCAAGUUUUGAGCCUCUUUUGGGUUUAUAGGGUUAGGAUUGGACCUUUCCAAGUUUAUUGAAAUAAUGUGAUUAGGUGAAAGACAAGAUUCAAAUAACAUUAGAGAAUACCAAGACAGAGAACCUUGUUUGGGAAACAAAAGAAAACAAAAUAAAAAGGGCUAUACCUAAAUAAAGAGUAUGUGAAACAAAC